CCCAGCAGGUGGUUGCCCAGCUUUUAGUCCCAGAGAGAGGACACGUCAUUAGAGACAGAACAUGCUGACCACAGUGCCUGUCAGCCAUGAGACUGGUGUGAGAUUUGAGCUGCCUCAAGUAUCCACUCCUGUCUCCAGCAUUUGAUGCCUAACAGAACAAUGUCAGCUCCACUUUCAAGAGGUGAAUCUUUCUUCUGAGCAGGAAAGGAGAGAAAGAAAGAAACUUCAUAAAAGAGAUCAGGCCACGAAAACUUGAACCUUCAAAGCAGAGCCUGAACCUUCAAAGCUCACCUGACGUCGUAGAAGCACUUUUCCUGGCAUUGGGAGCUGCUGGUUCAUCCUGAGGGAUCUGGGGACUGAGCCUAGUUUUACAGAUGGGGAAGCUGAGACCUGGCGG